UACGUAGGGUCCAAGCGUUAUCCGGAAUCACUGGGCGUAAAGCGUGACGUAGGUGGCGCGUAAGUGUGAUGUUAAAUCGUGGGGCUCAACCCUGUCGGUGCAUCACAUACUGGCGUGCUAGAGGACAGCAGAGGCAAGUGGAAUUAGCAGUGUAGCAGUGAAAUGCGUAGAUAUUGCUAGGAACACCAAUGGCGAAGGCAGCUUGCUGGGCUACUCCUGACACUGAUGUACGAAAGCGUGGGGAGCGAACAGG
rnacentral:rRNA from 1 species